AAAUGUGUUUUGUGUUCAGGUCUCAUGACCUAUUUGCGCAACUUCUAAUAUUGGUGAUUUUGUAAGUUGGUGUUCCAAGCAGGAGCUGCUGAAACCUCUUGGGAAUGUUUUGAGGUGUCAAGUUAAAUAUCUGUUGCCAUCACAUCUAGCUGUGGUGGCUCUAGAAAUGAGCAUUAGUUGCGGUAUGGAAAGGUGUUUACAAUCACUGAGGUGCAGAAGUGGUGGCUGCUGUUCAUUUUCUCAGUGUGGAUGUGCAAUGAUCUGCUUAACUUGGUAUGUACACAUGGACCUCCUCACUCCUACUAAUGGACAAGAUACACUGGAGAUUCCGAUCCCUCUUUGUGUGACAAGUGUGUGUAACUGAAAGGCAGAAAGUGUGAUGAUAAAAUUAACCCUUCAAAGGGUAUUGAAUGCAUGUAGUUUGGGAUGGUGGGCAUGUCCUCUUUAAUCCACCAUAUUUUUGUUUAGGUUUUGAUGUUCACUUGUUAGAUGAUGACCCAGAUGCAGACACACAGGACAGUUUUCCACCAAUAAAAAGCAAGCUUUAAUACCUAAGCUAGCACCAAAAUAGUUAGUGUAAAAAUCUUAUCAAAAACAAAACAAACAGAAAAUCCUAUGCCAGGGAAUAAUGCGUGUAUAAUGCAUAGACUGUAUAUAAAGAUGGGCGUAGCUACCGUGACGUCACCCGUUGGUUUUUGCACUGAGAAAAUGAAGCCCGGAUUUUGCUACUUCCUGGUUGACAUCUUGGAUUUCUCUGGAGCCAGAGACGAAAAAAAGAUUGUCAGAGGGCAGAGCCGGAGAGCAGUGAUUGGUCAAACUGACUGAGAGCCGAGGACUCUCUGUCCCGCCCACAUCUUGCCGAGGACUCUGUCCAGCCCACAUCUACCGGCUUCUGCUGUUUACCGACACUGCUGCUAACAACGUUCGCCUCCAAAAGUGAAGAUAAACUCUGCAGCCUUGGUUUGGAUCGUUGGGAACAUCUAGUCUGAUGGACUGAGAACUACAGCGAACAUGAACAUCCAGCUGUGGUUGUCUGAAGAAUUUUCUGUCCUUCAUCGCUGUGAGGAAGAGCAUCACUGAUGUCCUCCUCACCCUUCCAGUAAUAACAAUGAUGCUGCAGAUUUAGCUCCUCUUCAGAAUACAACUUGUCUUGGUGACUGUUUGGUAUUUACACUUCACUGUCAGAAACGCAUUAUUUAUUUCAUCCAUUUAUUACAUAUGUUUACACAACUUUACAGUUCACAGUUGUUAAAUAAUGUAGUUAUUUAAUGUGCAGUAAAGGUAAUAAUGAAGCUCUUGACCCGAAUGUGUUGAUGUUUUAAUGCUGCAUAUCUGCUAUUAAUAAGUAGAACAUUGUAUUCUGUACUGUAUUUCUGCUACAACAACAGAGAUGAAGUUAAAGGUGAUAAAUGGAACCCAUGAAUGCAAAAAACAGAAUAAUAAACAGCUGAAAGAAUUGGUCUGUUCUCUGUAAGUGAAAGUUAAACAGGAAGUGGUUCACUGAGGAUGUUGUCCAUUCAGUCUCCUUCGCAUCCAGAUGAGGUUUUCCUUCUGCUGGCUUCACUCAGAAGAUCCUCACAGUGAGUAUGAGACACCUGAGAUGAUGACAGACGUCACAGUAUCAGCAUCAACAGCAGAGGUUCAUUUUAAAGUGACCCUGGAAAGAUUUUUUUAUUUCAUAUAGUUUUCCAAGCACAGAAAGGUCUGUAGUCACUGUAGCUUUAGGGGAGAGGAUUUUAUUCUUCUUCUUAUCUGUGCUGUAAUUUCAAUGUAAUAACUGUAGUGUUAAUCAUUACUUUGAUCAUAUUCUGGGAGUUUAUUUUUGCAGUCUACACUGCAGUAAGAAGUACUGCAACAUGUGAAUCAGUCAUUAAACAACGUUAACCGUUAAUGGAGUAGAUUUACUGUUUUCUCCAGUUUAACAUCAGAGACUCAGCAGAUAUUCAGGACUAAUGACGGUACAGAACCUUAACCUUACUGUUUUAAUCACAUUUAGGUUUUCUAAAUGUUACAUUAAUGUGAACCAGCGUCUCCACUGACAGUUUUAUUAACAUUACACUAACACAACACACUUCAGCUGUUUACAUGAAACAAAACAUCGUUAGCUUAAUGCUACAUUUAAUCAGGCUACAACUGAGCAGCUAGCUCGGUUAGCAUCACUAAUUCACAUUAAAGCUAAUAUUUACUGGAUGCUAACUCUCUUCUCUGGUCAAUACACACAGAAAUAAACUCCACCAACAUUUGGAGUGCAUGGAACACAUUAUAUCUGACACUAAAGCUGCAUAUAAAGUGCAUUAAACCCGGCACCGAUAAGAAAAUAAACACUUACCGAACUAUCAGAGUCCUUUCAGUGUCUCCUGGUAGAAUCAGCCAAAGGUAGAAAACUGGUUAAAACAAGCCAAAUGGCAGAAAUACUAUCUGUGGAAAAUGUUCUGCUGCUUCACCGAUAAAUAAACCAACAGUGAUCAUAUCAGAGUUAAUCCAAAGGAGAAUAGAGUUUACGGUGAAUAAGUGUCUGGGCUGCCUCCUCCAUAGGACAUGUCAAUCACUCCAGACCAGACUGUCAGUCAAGUACCCUGCCCCCUUGCUUCGCAAAACUUUAACGCUCUGUAUAAAAUUCAGUAUUGAUUUAUUUGAAGCUCGGCCACCUGAUCUCUUGUUUUAACCAUGAAAUCUAUCGUCUAUCGUAUUUUAGGUUUUUCCAUUUAGAAUUGGGUUCUAUGGAGCCAGAGCUUUUUGGUGUGAUAUUGCAAAUUUUUUGACACUUCAGGUAGGCUCAAUUUUUGGAGCCAGGCGCUACGUCCAUCUUUAUAUACAGUCUAUGGUAUAAUCCGUGUAUGGUUCGCUCAUUCGUUUUUCCAUUUCAAAAUAAAAUCUAAAAAGCCAA